GAGGAGGUUUUGAGGACUUGAGGAAGUGGGACGAGCACCUUUCUAUUGUCUUCGCUUGGCUCCAAAACAAGACGGUCUCCCCGCCCCGCGCCAGAUCAAGUAGUUUGGACAUCACCGGACUGAUAACUCGCGAUUCCUUAGUUUUCUGCAUUCUCUUCACCGCAAUGCAGGAGACGCUCUCUAGUCCAGAGGGCUUUAUUUAUGAACCUUGGAAAGGAUCUCCCAGGAUGGUGGGCCUUCUAGGAGCAAUGAUGUACUGUAAUUUUAUUUUAAUGUAUUUUGACUUAUGAUUAUUUAUUAGUUUUUUUAAUGCUUGUUCUAAGACAUUUCUGAAUGUAGGCCAUUUUUCAAAAAGAAACUUGAUUUUCAAAAACCUAUUCCCUAGUAAGUUCUAAUCUUGGAAAAGAAAAAAGUAAGAGGGCGGCGGAGGGGAAAACAUUAAGAAUUCAUACAUUAUUCUUGGGGCAUUUUCCAAAGGUCUGAUACUUUGAUUCUUAUGCAGGUGGUUGAAAUUAAACUCUGUGGUAUUACUUCUUUUUUUAUUUUGAGAUUUUUUUCUCCUCGGACAUAUAUUUUGUGUAGAAUAGAGGUUUAAAGAAGUUAAGUGUUCAGAAGCGUGUAAUUAUGAAAAUCUAAUCUCUUUCCUAAAAGGAAGUCACUAGUAGUGAGAUCUGAUUUCAAAUAUUUAAAACAUAACCCAGCUGAUGGCAGGAUGAUCAUGUGGUGCAUAUUCGGUUGGACUGGGUCUGCUGUAGGAAAAGCUUGGCUUCAUGUCAUGUGUGUGUGACUCGUUUAAUAAGGAGAUUUCUAUGAUUUCCGUGUGUGAAUGCAGUAGGUGUUUCAUUUCAGAAGCCGCAGUGGGGAGAGGGAACCAUUCAGCCCGACUGAGAGGACAUUGAUGCUCUCACCCAUCACCCACACUAGCGCUUCUCCUCCCCAACAGCUUUGCACACUUCACUUGAGCCGCAUUUUCUGACCCGUUUACUUUGUUCUGGAAGCAUACUCUAGAAUCUCAUAGUUUAAAAUACAGUUUGUAAAUAUUUCAAAGAACUAGGAGUCAUCACUUUUUGUUUUCGUACUGAAAAUAAUGUUGAUCAGAUAAACCAGCUGUUUCGCUUUUUAUUGCUCUGUGAGAAAGUUGAGGGUUAUUUGUUUUGUUAUUAGGUUAGCUAAACUCAGAAACUGCAAAAGGAAGGGCUGGGUAAACACUGGAUUUUCAGUAAGAAAACAACCCCAGUCUUGUUUCAGCCCCUUGUGCAGGAGUCUGGGGGGCGGGGUCAGGGGAAGAGG
rnacentral:lncRNA from 1 species